AUGAUGCUCGCGGCAGGGCCGCGGCGGCGGCCUUGGCAGGGGCGGCGCGGUGGUGGCCUGGGGAGGGCCGGUCGUGGCAGAUCGACUGUCGGCGCACUCCAUGGUGGUGCAGUCGGAGGAAGGUGCGGCAAAGAUGCGGGGGAGGGAGGUGGUGGUGCGGCACCGUGGAGGGAGGUGGCGCAGCGGCAUGGUGGACGGAGGUGGUGGUGCAGCGUGGUAGAGGGAGAUGGCGCGACGAAAGGAGGUGGAGGGAUUGGGGUCGUGGUCGUGCGGGAGGUGGGUUGGGGUGGUGCAGGGCUGCGGGCACUGGCCGGCGACGGGUUGACCAGGGGAAGAAGGUAG
rnacentral:rRNA from 1 species